AUUGAACGCUGGCGGCAGGCCUAACACAUGCAAGUCGAACGGUAACAGGAAACAGCUUGCUGUUUCGCUGACGAGUGGCGGACGGGUGAGUAAUGUCUGGGAGACUGCCUGAUGGAGGGGGAUAACUACUGGAAACGGUAGCUAAUACCGCAUAACGUCGCAAGACCAAAGAGGGGGACCUUCGGGCCUCUUGCCAUCGGAUGUGCCCAGAUGGGAUUAGCUAGUAGGUGGGGUAACGGCUCACCUAGGCGACGAUCCCUAGCUGGUCUGAGAGGAUGACCAGCCACACUGGAACUGAGACACGGUCCAGACUCCUACGGGAGGCAGCAGUGGGGAAUAUUGCACAAAGGGCGCAAGCCUGAUGCAGCCAUGCCGCGUGUAUGAAGAAGGCCUUCGGGUUGUAAAGUACUUUCAGCGGGGAGGAAGGGAGUAAAGUUAAUACCUUUGCUCAUUGACGUUACCCGCAGAAGAAGCACCGGCUAACUCCGUG
rnacentral:rRNA from 1 species